AGGGAUCGAUAUGGAUGGUUCUGCUUAGCACUGCAGUCGUGGUCUGUGGCUCCUUCGAGUUUGGAUCAUGCGUAAGUUAUUCAUCAUCAUCAUCUUCAAUCUCCAAGUCUGUGAAUUCUUCAUGAUAAACCUGUGCCACUAAAUGCUAGUACUAUUAUGAAGAUGGCCAGAACCGAUACAGAAUAAGAACAUUGCUGUAGCUGGAAUUAUGCUCAUAUUUCCUAAAACAGGUUGGGUUAUCUCUUCAGUUCUGUUUCAGCUGAGCUUGAUGGGAACUAUGUAUUUAGGAUGAAUGAUCCUAAAAUUUGGAUCUUUCAAACUGGUCACUGGCACAAGUUGGUGUUAAUCCAAAACAAGUUGUAAUUAGGAUAAAAGGGUACACAGUUUGAUGAAUGAGUCUGAAACUAUGAAAUCUACUGAUGCUCUGAAAAUUUUCUUGUGAGCUUGAUAUGUAUCUUUAAUUUUGUAGGUUGGCUACUCUGCACCAACUCAGUCAGGGAUUACAAAGGACAUCGGCCUCUCUCUAUCCGAGGUGAGUUCACAAUGUCAUAUCCAUUAUGUCAAUUGUUCUUGGCUAUGACAAUCUUAAAGAUGUUGAAAGAGAAAACAAGAGUAAAAAAAAAACAAAGCAUAAAAUCAAAAGAGUAAAAAAAUUUAAUGUAACAGAUUACACCCCAAGUUAUUGCCAGAUUAUCAUAUUAUCAUAGAAAUGUUAAUGAAAUGCAAUAGGAACAUAAUUAUCUUGCAUAUCAUAAAUUUAAUGCAUGCAAUUCUCUAUCGAUUUUGCAGUACUCAGUUUUUGGUUCGAUAUUAACUAUUGGGGCGAUGAUCGGUGCAGUCACAAGUGGGCAUCUUGCAGAUUUUAUUGGUCGAAAAGGAGUAGGAAGCACAAGUCUUAUGCAUUAAUGUGCAAGAUUUACUUCUGCACACACUCACUAGAUCUCUAUCUAUAUGAUGCAGGCCAUGAGAGUGUCUGCUGUCAUCUGCAUUAUUGGAUGGCUUGCCAUUUACUUUGCAAAGGUUACCACUAAAAUUGCAAAUUUCUUCACUGAUUUGCUUUUAAGAGACUUUUAAGCUAAUUAAAUGUUGUUUCCUUUCUAAGGGUGCUGUCUUGCUGUAUUUUGGAAGAAUUUCCUCAGGAUAUGGGAUUGGAGUACUUUCCUAUGUGGUAUGAUUUCUUGAAUUGUUUCUUUGUUAUAAUUUUUAGCAGACAAUCUCACUUCAAGAUGUUAAACAUGGUCUGAAUGAUUAAUGUUGAGAAAAAGAGAAUGUUUUGAUGACAUAACAACAAAUGCUUUUAGGUGGCCAGGAACUAAUAAAAUUUGACAGGAACUAGUAUCAUGCUGAACAAAGGAGAGAUCGAGAAAUAGGCUUGCAAUUUAGGGAAACUAAUCACUCACUGAAGAUAAUAGAUUUAUAAUGAGAUCAUACCAUCACAGGUACCUGUUUUCAUUGCUGAAAUAGCACCGAAGAAUCUGCGAGGUGGACUUGCAACCCUGAAUCAGGUAAAGCAUAAAUUUUCCAACCAUCAGCAUGCUAAUACAGUAAAAACUGUCUCCUUUGCUCACAAUAAUGACCUCGAUACAUGUUAUUACUUACGUUGCACUUCUUUCUCACAGCUGCUGAUAUGUGGUGGCCAUUCGGUUGCUUUCGUAAUCGGCACUCUUGUUACCUGGCGCACACUGGUGUUAGUCGGUAAUUAUAUCUUAAAAUGUUUAUCUUAUAUUCACUAUGGAUACACAAAACACAAAAAAUUAUGAAGACACUACAAAGUCAGACAAAUGUUCAUAUUAUGCUAACUGAUAUUAAGCACAAAAAAUAGCUGAAUUGGCUUUAUGCAGGAUUUCUCCCUUGCCUUCUUCUACUUCUCGGACUUGUUUUUGUUCCAGAGUCUCCAAGAUGGCUGGUACCUCUUCCAUUUAGUAUACUAUUGGGCCCAGUACACAAUAGAAUAAAUGUUCCUUGGUGACAUGAGAAUAAAUUUCAGGCAAAGGUGGGGAACCAGAAAGAGUUCACAGCUGCAUUGCAAAAGCUUCGUGGAGAAGAUGCUGAUAUCACUCAAGAAGCAGAAGAGAUUCAAGUGUGUUUAUUAGCAUAGUGUUUCUCAUUCUAAAGCAUCAAAGUUAAAGGAUGAAACAGUAACAGUAAACUAAACUUGCUAUGCAGGAAUACAUUGAAGACCUUCAGACACUUCCCAAGGCUGGGAUUCAAGACCUGUUUCAAAGCAUAUAUAUCCGUUCUGUGAUUGUAAGCGACCUCUUAAAUUCACUAGCCACAAUAAACUUAUCUGCAUGAAAUUUGAUAGAUCACACUGACCAUGUUCAGGUAGGUGUUGGCCUCAUGGUGUUUCAGCAAAUUGGGGGCAUCAAUGGAGUUGGAUUUUAUGCAAGCAAAAUUUUUGUAUCUGCAGGUAGACAAAUAGCUUCAGACAAUAUGAGGUUACUGUAUUUUGACUCUUCUUGACAACUACAAAUAAAAAUUGAGGAUUAUAAUGCAUGUUGUGACUGCAGGAUUUUCCUCAGGCAAACUUGGGACCAUUCUGAUGGGAUCCAUUCAGGUUUCAAUUCUUUCAAAUGCUUAAUCAUCUACGAAUUACUAUUACUAAAGUUAUGCUACUAAGAGUCUGAUACAUAGGUACCCAUCACAAUAGUGGGAGCUCUUUUAAUGGACAGGAGUGGUCGAAUCCCUCUGCUAAUGGUAGGCAAAGUGUGGUUCAAAUUCUUUGCUCUGCCAAUCAGCUUCAAAGGAGUGACAAUCUUUUGCAAUGCAGGUUUCUGCAUCAGGGACUUUCAUUGGUUGCUUUAUCACAGGGACAUCAUUCUAUCUCAAGGUAAGUCUGAAUCAAAGACUCUGGAGUGAGCAUGACUUUGGUUGAAGUUAACCAUACCUGUUGAAACAGGCACAGGGAAUUUAUAUGGAAUGGGUUCCUACACUGGCUCUCUGCGGCAUAUUGGUAAGCAAGAACAUCAAGUUUGGGGUUGUUUUCAUUGGGGGAUCCAUCUAACAUUCUAAUUCCAAACUAUCAUUGCCAGACUUAUACCAAAUAGCCAACUGCACUAAAUUUGACUUAAUAAAAGCUUCUACCAAUUUUACAAAAUUCCUUGUGCCAUAUCCAAUUGCAUAGUUGUGCACAGUUCAACAGUUGGUGAUUAUGUAAAUGAUGUGUUCCAUUAUUUGCUUUUAAGCAAACUCUAAAGCUCCAAUUCACUCCAUUUCAAUAAGUAGGUGUAUGUGGGUGCAUUUUCAAUAGGAAUGGGUGCUGUUCCUUGGGUCAUCAUGUCUGAGGUAAGAUGAUUUUGUUAAUUUUCCUUGCAAUCGAAAAGGCUAUUGGAAAUCUCACAUUGUCUCAACCUCUUUGUUUUCCACAGGUAUUCCCCAUAAACAUAAAAGGAAUUGGAGGAAGCCUAGUGACUUUGGUGAACUGGUUUGGUUCUUGGGCAGUCUCUUAUGCUUUCAACUUUCUCAUGAGUUGGAGUUCAGCAGGUAAGGGGUCUGCUACUACAUUAUGCACUGCAUUGCUGGUGCUCAAAAUUAUUUAAUAAUCAUGUAUAGUCGCAAUCUAAUAUGACUGAUAACUAUCCAAAGAAAAGAAAAGAUAAAAGAGGCAAGCUCAUUCUAAGAAUCUCGUAAUAAAGAUCAUAAAAUUCAAAGUUGAGUACCUUUUCUACUUAUUAGAGUAAUCACAUUACUAGAAGGAUUCCACAUGCCAUUCAGAAAUUUAGCUCUCUGUUUGUGUUUUUUUUUGUUAAGAACUCCAUGAACAAAUAAUAUGGUAGAUUUCAUUAUAGUAAUAGAAGAUCAAAGAAUGAGGAAAGCUUGUUGACGCAGAAUAAAAUAAAAUUAAGAAAAUAUUACUAGAAAGGAUUCUAACAAACUAACCUUAUAAGGAAGGACAAGAGAAAUCAACUAGAAAGACCUUCACAAAACUUGAAGAUAUUAUUUUUUGAUGAUUUUAUAGGCUCAAAGGGGACUUUUUAUUUAUACUAGUUUUAAGCAUUGAAAACUAGUUAACUAGUUUUAAGCAUUGUUCCAUAUUAUUUCCCUCCACUUGAGAAAAAAUCACCCUCGAGUUUAUGUAUGGAUAUAAUGGAUUCUCAUUUGAAAAGUAGUUAUACAAGUCUGCAACAUUGAAUGCCUUUAAGAUCCUCCAAUCAUUUGGUAAAUCAAUCACAUAGGCAUUGUUAUUUAUUUUCUUUAAGACCUUAUAAGGACCAUACUUCUUGGGUUUUAAUUUAUUAUAAGUGUCUAUAAAAAAUCCCUUUUUUCAUAAGUACACCAUAAUCAUACCUUCCUUGAACACCUUCUCUCUCCUAUGCUUACGCGCUGCUUCUUUAUACUUGGUAGUAGUAGCUUCCAGCUUCUUCUUCACUUCAGUUUGGGUUGAUUGUAUUUGCUCAGCCAUGUUGUUAGCUAAUACACUCAUUACAGGAGUCACCAUAAAUGUAACUAAAUUUAGAACAUGCUUCGGCACUUUAGUGUAAACAAAAGAGGAUGGUGACGCUCUGAUAGAACUAUGAAUUUUGCUGUUAUAAACAAAUUUAACUUGUGCCAAUGCGAAAUCCCAUUAUUUUAGUUUAUCACCACAAAUAUAACGAAUCAAAUUUUCCAGAGUCCUAUUAGUUACCUCCAUCUGACCAUUAGUUUAUAGGUGAUAUGUUCUGCUAAACUUCAAACUUACGCCAAAUCUUUUCCACAAGAUCAGUAAAAAAUAAGAUAAAAAUUUAGAAUCUCUGUCAGAAGUGCUUGAUUUUGGUACCCCAUAUAGGCAUAUAACUUCUUGAAAGAAUAGCUUGGCAAUAUAUAUCGUAUCUAAAGUCUUCCAACAUGGUAUGAAAUGAGCCAUCUUGGUGAAUCGAUCCACAAUCACAAAUACAGAAUCAACUCCCCUAUGAAUUCUUCACAAUCCCAAUAUAAAAUCUAUGAAUGAAUCCUCCUAAAUGUCUUCUAAAACUAGUACUGUCAUAUACAAGCUAGUGUUUUGCGACUAGUUCUUUGUAGUUUGAUAAGCUAGAUAUUUUCUUAUAAAAUUACUAAUAUCUCUUUUUAAUUAUGGCCAAAAGUAUCUCUCCUCGAUGCUUGCUAUUGUUUUGUCUCAAUUGAAAUACCUAUUAAGUCCUCCUCUAUGUUAAUCUUGAAUAAUCUUUUCUCGUAUAGACAUCCUCGGAACACAUAGGUUAUUAUAUUUAAAUAAGCAAUCAUCAUGGAUAUAAAAAUCACCCAUAGGUUGUCUUGUCAAAUGCUUCUCCCUAAGGAUUGAAAUAUCGUACCGUAUCGAAGUUUCGACGUUCGCUCGGUACAAUACGAUACUGUAUAUCGAGCAGUAUAUCGUUCUAUAUAUAUAUAAGGUGACGUCGCGUCGCCUCAACGACUUCACCUUUUAUAAAAAUAUUUAUAUAUUCCACUUGCAUCAUAUUCUACUUUAAAAAGCCUUUUAAAAUUGAGUAAUGCAAGCACUGGUGCAAUAGUCAACUUUUCUUUAAUAUUAGAAGCCUUUCUCGGUAGCCUCAAUCCAUAAAAACUUUCCUUUCUUCAAACAAUUAGUGAUAGGAGUAACAAUACUACUAAAGUUUAUAAUGAAUCUCCAAUAGAAAGUAGCAAGGCCAUGAAAACUCCUUACUUCUGUGACAGUCUUUGGGGUAGGCCAUUCUCAAAUGACACAAAUCUCUUUUUCAUCUACAUGAAUCCCAUCAGCACUCACAAUGAACCCUAGGAAGAUUAGUCGAUUUAUCAGGAAGUCAUACUUCUUCAAAUUGAUAUAUAACUUAUUGUCUUACAAAACAAUUAGGACUUAUCAUAAAUGAUCCAUAUAUUCUUCUCUACCGUGACUAUAGAUUAGAAUGUUAUCAAAGUAGACUAUUACAAAUUUCAUGAUUAAUGAUUUAAGUACCUAAUUCAUAAGUCUCAUGAAUGUACUUGGUGCAUUAGACAAAUAAAUAACAUAACUAAGCAUUCAUAUAACCCUUCACUUAUCUAGAAUGUAGUCUUCUAUUCAUCUCCAUGCCUUAUGCAAAUAUGAUGAUAUCCGCUACAGAGAUCAAUUUUUUAGAAUAUCUUGAAGCUUUAUAGUUGAUCCAACAUAUCUUCUAGUCAAGGUAUGGGAAUGCGAUACAUGGCUAUGAUUUUGUUAAUGACUUUGCUAUCCACACACAUCCUUUAUCUUUGAUCUUUUUUGGGUGUCAACAAAGCUAGGGCAACAUGGGCUCGUACUUUCUUGAAUAUAUCCCUUCCACAUCAAUUCUUCUACCUUCUCCCUCAGUAUUUCAUUCUAUUUUGGGUUCAUCUAGUAGUGAGAUAAAUUUUGUAGACUUGCUCCUAGAGCCAAAUCAUUUUUGGUGCUGUAUAUCUCUAAUGGGUGGAAGUCUAUUUAAUAAUUCUUCAAGAGUAAUCUCUUUGAAUUCUUCCAACAUCGAUCUUAAUUCUUUUGGAAUCUUUGCUUUAGGUGGCUUUUCUCCCUUCACAAUAAAAGUAUAGCAUACUCUUGUUUCUAUAGAACGGACAAUAAAUUCUUACAUAGAGUUGGAAAUAGAUAUGAAAGACUUUUCUUCCACUUUAGAAGUGUUGGAUUUAUCUCCCUUUUUGUUAGUCGGUCGAAUGACAAUCUUCUUAUCGUUCUACCAAAAUAUAUAAACAUUCUUUCUUCCAAGAUGUGUUUCAUCUUUUUUGGGUGUCAACAAAGCUAGGGCAACAUGGGCUCGUACUUUCUUGAAUAUAUCCCUUCCACAUCAAUUCUUCUACCUUCUCCCUUAGUAUUUCAUUCUAUUUUGGGUUCAUCUAGUAGUGAGAUAAAUUUGAUAGACUUGCUCCUAGAGCCAAAUCAUUUUAGUGCUGUAUAUCUCUCAUGGGUGGAAGUCUAUUUAGUAAUUCUUCAAGAGUAAUCUCUUUGAAUUCUUCCAACAUCGAUCUUAAUUCUUUUGGAAUCUUUGCUUUAGGUGGCUUUUCUCCCUUCAAGUAUAACAUACUCUUGUUUCUAUAGAACGGACAAUAAAUUCUUACAUAGAGUUGGAAAUAGAUAUGAAAGACUUUCCUUCCACUUUAGAAGUGUUGGAUUUAUCUCCCUUUUUGUUAGUCGGUAGAAUGACAAUCUUCUUACCGUUCUACCAAAAUAUAUAGACAUUCUUUCUUCCAAGAUGGGUUGCAUUCACAUCAUACUGCCAUGGCCUUCCAAGUAGCAUAUGACAUACAUCUAUGUCAACUAUUUUACAUAUAACUUUUUCCUUGUAACUUUUCUUAAUUGAGAGAGGAACUCUACAGAUCUUAGUUAUAGUGAUAGUUGGGUCUUCUUUAAUCCACCUUAGCUUGUAUGGUAUUGGAUGGGCUUUCAUCUAUAAUUUUAAGCAUCUCACCAGUGAUUUGGAUAUAAUAUUGUCAUAGGUUACAUUGUUUAUAAUCAAUGCGCAAACUUUGUUAUGAAUAGUAUAUUGAGAAUGAAAUAUUUUCUUAUAUUGAGAUAGAUCUUCUUGCCUUGGGAUGAGUAAUAAUCUUUUUACAAUACAUGCGAUAUGUUUCCCUUCUUCCUUUGCUAUUUCAGCAUUAUCAAUAUCAUUAAUCGUAUCAUCUUGGGCAUCUCUUUCUUUUUCAAAGUCAUUUUGUGAUGUACGGUUGAUAGUUUUACAAGCAUGACACUCGUUGGAACGAUGACUAGGUUCCCCACAUUUGAAAUAUUUUCUAACCAAGGGUUGAGCAUAUCGAUUAUUUGAGGUAAUUAGGAUAUGCUUAGCUUCCCUUGUUGCUCCUCCAAUGUUUGUGCCUUGAUUUAUUGGUUGUAUUUCAACCUUUAAUGCCAUAUUGUGAGCUUCAUCUGCUAUCCAUAUCAGAGUUAAAGACAUUCUAUCUUUAAUUAUAAAUUUUAUUCCAUUGACAUACCUUGCUAUAUGUUGGUCUUUUGACUCUGAUAAGUUAUAUCCAACUAAAAGGUGCAAGAAUUCAUCGGUAUACUUGGUUAUAAAUUGAGUGCCUUAGAUGUGGUUUUGGUAUUAUUGAAAUAAUAGUUGUUCAUAGUCUAAGGGUAGAAGUCUUCCUUUGAUAAGUUGCUUCAUCUUUUACCACGUCUGAAUCGGUGCCUUCCCUUAUCUUCGUUUGUUAUUCUAUAAUGUACCCCACUAAGCUAUUGCACCUUCUUUCAACUUGUCUAUAACAAGCUUGACUUGUUUGUGAUUAGGAACAUCCAUCAUCUUGAAAAUUUUCUCUACUUGAUAACUCCAGUCAAGAAAAGCUUCAUUACUGAGGUGGAUAUUAAAAUUGGGGAGGUCUACUUUGAGGUGGUAGUCCUCAGAUAGUUUAUUUCAUCUUGUUAGUACUUGAUGUCUUUCGUAUCGUUCAUUGUAAUCUUUUGAGUCAUCAUCAUAUACUGUUGGCUGUUGUGGGCAAAUAGUACCACAUCGAUUGUAGUGUCAAGGUUGAGCUGCACCUGUACCUCUCCUUUGGUUGGCUUUGUGAUAGUCCACAAUUCCUUCUUCGUUUGACUCAUAUUCAUAGGCUGGUUGCCUAUGCUGGAUUGUAGGGCUAUGUUGAUUAUUAGGUUGGCCAUUAGCAUCAACUCUAGUGUAGUUGAUUCUACCAUCAUCAUGAACUUUGUUGGCGCCUAUACCCAUAUUAGUAUGUCUUGAAUCUCUUGAAGUUCCUAGGUCAUUCUCACUUCUUGUGCUUCUAACAUAGCCCAUAGAGUUGACACUCAUCAAUCAUUAUUGUUGAGAUUAUUACUAUUAUCUCUAUCACAAAGUCAUCACCGUCGAAAUUGCCAUUGUCAUCGCUAAUAACACCGUCACCAUUGCCACCGUUAUUGCCACUAGACUCAUCUUGAUGGGCUAUAAGAUUAUACUUGACAAAUUAAAUUUUUGAUACAUAAGAUGAGUUAUAAGUGGCAAGUGUAGAGCAUAUCUCUUAAUUUUCUAACCACAGACCUAUUAUGCUAACACCAAGAGUAAGGCUGAGAGAAAUCAACUUGUUAUAGUGGAGAAUAUUUUUAUAAUAUUUAAAGAUAUUAUUUAUUGAUGAUUCUAUAAACUUAGAGGGGCUUUUAUUUAUACUAGUUUUAGGUCUUGAAAACUAAUUAACUAGUAACGUGGGAUAAAAAAUAUAUAAAAGUAAUAAGUGAAUAAUUUUAGAUUUUUUAAAAAUAAUCUUCUUCUGUUUAUUCCACUUAUUCUGAUAACCGAAUACAAUUGGACUUUGACUUUUCUUUUAGUGGUGUAAUUUAGCAAGAUGAAUACCUGCUCUUUCUUCACCUGUUCUACAGGUACCUUUUUCAUCUUUUCGGCAGCUAAUGCAGCAACCAUUGUAUUUGUGGCAAUGGUAGUACCUGAAACAAAAGGCCG
rnacentral:lncRNA from 1 species